CAAAUAAUUAUGCCUAUUUCUUAUUCCCAUGAUGAGAGUUAAGUAUUUAGAAUGUCAGUUCAUCUUAUCUAAAAAUAUUGCUCUGAACUACAGGUAUUACAUCCAUACCUGGAUACAUCAUUCAUUCAUUCAAAUAAGCAAACAAAACAUAACAAAAACAUUGGUCCUAUCCCAAACUCACCAAACAAACUGUAGCACUGAAAAGCCAAAAUGUUUCAUAACACCUACAUGAAAACUCUGAGAUAUGAUGUGUGGUUUGGGGAGAAUAGCCCUGUGUUGGGAGUCGGGAGGCCUACAUGGUAAUUCCAUGACUUUGGACAUUUAGAUUUUUCAGGCUUCAUUUUCUCACUCUUCUCACUAUUAAAAUGUAAGAUGGAACUGAACCAGUGUAUCUCUGUAGUGCCCUAAGGAUCCUCACUCUGCAGGAUUACAUGGAGAGUGGUCUCAUGAAGGUGGAGAGAGGCACGGCAGAAUUCCUGAGGGUAAGAGUUGGAAGAGAUGGGAAAGUGGUGCUGAUAAUCAUUUGCUAUCUUCUGUGAUUCUCAGCAGGGUAUCUGAGGGCAGCAGAGUCUGAAAUGAAUCCCUCAAGUAGGGUAAGUUUCCAAAACUAAAGACAGCAGCGGUAGAUGAGACCUGGAGGGCAGGAGCAGGUGUGUAUCCUGAUAUCCUCUCACUGUGCCUGGAUCAAAAUUUCAACUAUAGUGAACCUCAAGAUGUGUUGCCUAUAUAAAGGUUAAUGUAAAAACUCAGGGCAAAAUUUCUGCUAGCCUGAUCCUCUUGUGGCUGAAAUUAAGAAAGGAACUAAUUGUUUUGUUAUUUUUCCAACCAGACUCUGAAAUGCCUCAGGUGCAGUUUGAUAAGACUGAUGAUGAGGACAUGGCCACAUGUGUCUCCAAGGGCUGGUACCUCAUGCCCAGUGUCACCUGGCAGAGAGGGACCUAAGCAACCGCAGUAUAGUGGAGGUCCUGGAGGAGCAGAUGAAUGUCUUCUACAGGGUGUUCUCUGUCCUGAAAUACCCCAUCAAGUUAAAUGAGAAAUAUGUUUGCACACAACAGAGACAGAUGUGAGCAACCGGCCCUUCAGAAUCAUCCGCAAGUACCCAAGUGGCUCUUCAGAUGCUGGAAGAGUUUCUGGAAGAAAAGUCUGCAUAGGUUUCCAGGUAGAAGAGAAAGAUACAGCUACUGACUCUGAUGCAUGACUAUCACACAUCAUGUGUAUUCUACUCUAAGAUUGUAAAUCUUCUAGUGGUAUGUAUGACAGUCCAACACAGCAUUUCUCCACCUCUGGGGAGUCCAUGAUGUCAGUUAACAAGAGGAAUCCACAGACGAGGCUGGUGUUGACCACACUUAGUGGCCACAGAGCUGCCUGAAGUCCCUCAUGUGUGGGGGCUGCUUCUGAGUCUGAGCUGGUCGAGCCUAGGACACACCAUGGAGUAUCUCUCCUCCCCACAAGUGGAACAAUCUGUUGCUUCAACCAAACACGAUGGGAACAUCAGUAUCUAGGUUCAUGAAGAAUCCUGGACCCAUGAAAUACCAGUCCAUUGACUCUCCUCAGAUGAAGAGAAACUCUGUAAGCCAUAGAGGGUCAAGUUAAAGACUUAGAGAAAAGCCAAAUUGGGUGGGAAACAGGCUGAAGUGGCCUGGGUCUGGGGAUAGGCAGCCAGCUCUAUGUG